GAGGGAAAGGCGAAAAGAACCCCGGCGAGGGGAGUGAAAAAGAACCUGAAACCGUGUACGUACAAGCAGUGGGAGCACCUUUAUGGUGUGACUGCGUACCUUUUGUAUAAUGGGUCAGCGACUUAUAUUCUGUAGCAAGGUUAACCGAAUAGGGGAGCCGCAGGGAAACCGAGUCUUAACUGGGCGAAUUAGUUGCAGGGUAUAGACCCGAAACCCGGUGAUCUAGCCAUGGGCAGGUUGAAGGUUGGGUAACACUAACUGGAGGACC
rnacentral:rRNA from 1 species